UCUAUUUGAAGCUAUUUAUAGUCUAGCCUGCUCAGUGACAUUAAAGGUGUUAAAUAGCCGCGGUAUCCUGACCGUGCAAAGGUAGCAUAAUCAUUAGUUUUUUAAUUGAGAACUUGUAUGAAGGGUUGGACAAAGAAAAAGCUGUCUCUUUAAUUAAGAUUGAAAUUAACCUUUAAGUGAAAAGGCUUAGAUUAUCUAGAGGGACGAUAAGACCCUAUAAAGCUUUAUAAUGUUAAAAAUUCUAUGUAUUUUAUCUUAUAGAAAUGAGUUUUAAACCAUUUAUUGAGUUGGGGCGACAAAGGUAUAAUUUAAAGUAACUGCCGAUAAAUGUUACAAUUAUGUUUGUGUUAAAUAAUGUAUAGUUGAUCCCUUUUAAGGAUUAGGAGAUCAAGUUACUUUAGGGAUAACAGCGUAAUUUCACCUGAGAGUUCUUAUCAAAGGAGAAGUUUGCGACCUCGAUGUUGAAUUAAAAUGUCUUUAUAGUGCAGC
rnacentral:rRNA from 11 species